CUGCUCAGUAACACGUAGUUAACCUAACCUAUGGACGGGGAUAACCUCGGGAAACUGAGAAUAAUCCCCGAUAGAUCACGGUGCCUGGAAUGGCCUGUGGUCCAAAUGAUUUAUCGCCGUAGGAUGGGACUGCGGCCUAUCAGCUAGUUGGUGAGGUAAUGGCCCACCAAGGCUAUAACAGGUACGGGCUCUGAGAGGAGGGGCCCGGAGAUGGGUACUGAGACACGGACCCAGGCCCUAUGGGGCGCAGCAGGCGAGAAACCUUUGCAAUGUGCGAAAGCACGACAAGGUUAAUCCGAGUGUCUCCUGCUAAAGGAGUCUUUUGCCGGUCAUAGAACCACCGGUGAAUAAGGGGUGGGCAAGUUCUGGUGUCAGCCGCCGCGGUAAAACCAGCACCUCGAGUGGUCAGGAGGUUUAUUGGGCCUAAAGCAUCCGUAGCCGGCUGCUCAAGUUUUCGGUUAAAUCUAUGCGCUCAACGUAUAGGCCGCCGAAAAUACUGGGCAGCUAGGGAGUGGGAGAGGUACACGGUACUCAAUAGGAAGGGGUAAAAUCCUUUGAUCUAUUGAUGACCACCUGUGGCGAAGGCGGUGUACCAGAACACGUUCGACGGUGAGGGAUGAAAGCUGGGGGAGCAAACCGGAUUAGAUACCCGGGUAGUCCCAGCUGUAAACGAUGCAGACUCGGUGAUGCAUUGGCUUGUGGCCAAUGCAGUGCCGCAGGGAAGCCGUUAAGUCUGCCGCCUGGGAAGUACGUACGCAAGUAUGAAACUUAAAGGAAUUGGCGGGGGAGCACCACAAGGGGUGAAGCCUGCGGUUCAAUUGGAGUCAACGCCAGAAAUCUUACCUGGGGCGACAGCAGAAUGAAGGUCAAGCUGAAGACUUUACCAGACAAGCUGAGAG
rnacentral:rRNA from 1 species